rnacentral:lncRNA from 1 species
UAUGAAUUUGGCCAAAUCUUUAUGACACAUCCUGGAGAUAGCUGGACCCUCCCACAUUACAAGGGAUCAAGCAACUCUAUCUCUUCGAUUCAACUUAGCUUGGUCCUAUUCCCUUCGAUUUUGUGUUACCAAAUUGAAACUAAGGGCUCCUUAGCAAAAUGAGAUGUUCAAUAUAGAGAGGUGUUUCAGAUUACUUGGAUAGAUGUCUCGUUUCUGUUUUUAAUCAGCCUUGUAUUUAUAGGAGAAUUAUUGCCACUGUUUUAAAUCAGCCUUGCAUGCACACCCACGUACAGUGGUGGAAAUGGCAAUUAGUUCUUUUCAUUUUUCUUUUUUUAUUUGUUUGGGGGG